AAUUUGCGUGAGGGAUAGAGGCGGUAUCCUUUUUUGGGGUUUUUUUGGCCCUAAAAAGAUAAAGCCGAAAGCCCGACCCUUG
rnacentral:sRNA from 1 species